UACGGAAGGCAGCAGUGGGGAAUAUUGCACAAUGGGCGCAAGCCUGAUGCAGCCAUGCCGCGUGUAUGAAAAAGGCCUUCGGGUUGUAAAGUACUUUCAGUCGUGAGGAAGGUGUUAAGGUUAAUAACCUUAGCAAUUGACGUUAGCGACAGAAGAAGCACCGGCUAACUCCGUGCCAGCAGCCGCGGUAAUACGGAGGGUGCGAGCGUUAAUCGGAAUUACUGGGCGUAAAGGGCACGCAGGCGGUUAAUUAAGUUGGAUGUGAAAUCCCCGGGCUUAACCUGGGAAUGGCAUUCAAGACUGGUUAGCUAGAGUCUUGUAGAGGGGGUAGAAUUCCAUGUGUAGCGGUGAAAUGCGUAGAGAUGUGGAGGAAUACCGGUGGCGAAGGCGGCCCCUGGACAAAGGCUGACGCUCAUGUGCGAAAGCGUGGGGAGCAAACAGGGAUUAGAUACC
rnacentral:rRNA from 1 species